rnacentral:rRNA from 1 species
UACGUAUGGUGCGAGCGUUAAUCGGAAUUACUGGGCGUAAAGCGUGCGCAGGCGGUUAUAUAAGACAGAUGUGAAAUCCCCGGGCUCAACCUGGGCACUGCAUUUGUGACUGUAUAGCUAGAGUACGGUAGAGGGGGAUGGAAUUCCGCGUGUAGCAGUGACAUGCGUAGAUAUGCGGAGGAACACCGAUGGCGAAGGCAAUCCCCUGGACCUGUACUGACGCUCAUGCACGCAAGCGUGGGGAGCCAACAGGAGGCGAUAACAGCGUAGUCC